rnacentral:SRP_RNA from 1 species
GCUGGGCAUGGUGGCGUGAACCUGUAGUCCCAGCUACUCAGGAGGCUGAGGCAGGAGGAUCCCUUGAGCCCAGGAGAUAGAGGCUGCAGUGAGCUAUGAUGGCACCACUGUACUCCAGCCUGGGUAACAGAGGGAGACCUUGUCUCUU